GACGAACGCUGGCGGCGUGCUUAACACAUGCAAGUCGAAUGCUGAACCGGUUUCGGCCGGGGAUGAGUGGCGAACGGGUGAGUAACACGUGGGUAAUCUGCCCUGCACUCUGGGAUAAGCCUUGGAAACGAGGUCUAAUACCGGAUAUCACCUUCUCUACGCAUGGGAGAGGGUUGAAAGUUCUGGCGGUGCAGGAUGAACCCGCGGCCUAUCAGCUUGUUGGUGGGGAGUGGCCUACCAAGGCGACGACGGGUAGCCGGCCUGAGAGGGUGACCGGCCACACUGGGACUGAGACACGGUCCAGACACCUACGGGUGGCAGCAGUCGAGAAUUUUUCUCAAUGGGGGCAACCCUGAAGGAGCGACGCCGCGUGGAGGAUGAAGGUCUUCGGAUUGUAAACUCCUGUCAUUAGGGAACAAGUUGCCGUGGUUAACUGCCCCGGCAUUGAUAGUACCU
rnacentral:rRNA from 1 species